rnacentral:rRNA from 1 species
AACGAACGCUGGCGGCAGGCUUAACACAUGCAAGUCGAGCGGGGUGAUGGUGCUUGCACUAUCACUUAGCGGCGGACGGGUGAGUAAUGCUUAGGAAUCUGCCUAUUAGUGGGGGACAACAUCUCGAAAGGGAUGCUAAUACCGCAUACGUCCUACGGGAGAAAGCAGGGGAUCACUUGUGACCUUGCGCUAAUAGAUGAGCCUAAGUCGGAUUAGCUAGUUGGUGGGGUAAAGGCCUACCAAGGCGACGAUCUGUAGCGGGUCUGAGAGGAUGAUCCGCCACACUGGGACUGAGACACGGCCCAGACUCCUACGGGAGGCAGCAGUGGGGAAUAUUGGACAAUGGGGGGAACCCUGAUCCAGCCAUGCCGCGUGUGUGAAGAAGGCCUUAUGGUUGUAAAGCACUUUAAGCGAGGAGGAGGCUCUUUUGGUUAAUACCCAAGAUGAGUGGACGUUACUCGCAGAAUAAGCACCGGCUAACCCUGUGCCAGCAGCCGCGGUAA